rnacentral:rRNA from 1 species
AUCGAUAUGAAUUUAAUUUUGGUUCUGAUUGAACGUUUUUCAGUAGUUUUAAGACAUGCAAAUCGUUGUUCCUAACAGUUUAUCUUUAUUAUAUAAAACAAAAUAAGAAAUUAAAGAUAAAAAAAUAAGAAUAAGGUGUAAAGGUGAGUAUUUUAAAUUAGAUACCUUAUAGACUCCUUAAUUGGGAGAUAAUUUUAUGUCCUGCCGAAGGACCCCUUAUUCUCCUUUUUGUAAGAAUCAAGGACAAGGGGGGCCAUAGGGGCCCCAAAGGGGGCCGAGCAUCCUUCUAGCGAUGGUGCUGCAGGGGUAGCUCCUUCUCUUUCCUCUAGCUUUUUGUGGUAAUAACAAGAAAGGACAGGAUCGAAGGGCGAGCUACUGAUAAGGAAAGUAAAAUAUAAAUUAGCUAUUUAUUAAAAAAGGGAAAUUUUCUGCUAUAAGAUUCGAUUUAUUUUUGUUUAAAGGUAGUUGGUGGGGUAAAGGCCUACCAAGCCGACGAUCAAUAGCCAAGUUUGAUAGAACAGAUGGCCACAUUGGGAAUGGAAAGCCCCAAGUAGUGAAAACUACCAGCAGUCAAGAAUAUUAGUCAAUGCUCGCAAGAGUGAACUAGCUAACUGAAAUCACAUGAUCCAUGCUUUAUGCUGGUUAUUGGGAUAACGUAAGGGAAAAAAAUGAUAUUACCUUACUAUUAGUGUUGUCCAAAGCUGGGUGCCAGAAGACUCGGUAAGGCCAGAGACGCGAACGUUAGUCGUCCUAAUCAGGCGUAAAGGGUGUGUAGGCUGCUUUCAAAGUCUUAUCUUUCAUAAAGCUAUUAUCACGAAAAGAAUGAUUAAAGACAAUUUAAAAGCUCUUAUAACGAAGAUCUAUUUAAAAAAUAUUUAAAAUUCUCUAGUCUAAGGUAAAGAUAUGAUGAAUAAAAGCUAGAAUCAAAACGAGGAUAAGCCAAAUAAUACUUAGAGUAGGGUCGAUAUCCAUAGAUGCUAAGUGGAAUACUAAAAGUGAAAACUAUUUAUCUAGGAAUGAUUGACGCUGAGAAACGAAGGUGAGAAUAGGAAAUAGGAUUAGAGACCCAGAUACCUCUCACUGUCAACGAUGAAUGGUGGUUUGUUAGUUUAUAGAAGAACUAGUAACGAUGCUAACGCGAUAACCAUUCCGCCUUGCGAGUACGGUUGCAAAACUGAAACCAAAAAAAUUAGUCGGUCUCGAAGCAAACGAAGUGAAGCAUGUUAUUUAAUACGAGAACACGCGUAUAACCUUACCAGUUCUUGCAUAUCCAAUUAUUAAUGUUAAGUGGUUCUAAUUUAUUUAGUCCUAUUUAAAAUUAAAGAUUGUGUAGUUUCUUUUUCCACCUCUUUUGGACAUACUUUUGCCUAUACUUCAACACACCUACCCCCCCCUUUACCUUACAGGACCUACCCACUUCUAUCCUAAGAGUAACCCUCCAAGCCUCACCCCAUCCUUAUUAUAUUAAUUUAUUUUAUAGGAGGGGAGUUGCUUCUCUACACCAGAGAGGGAGAUUGCUCCUUUACCCCUUCUUCCUAACCGUAGGAGGGAUGGAAAUGGAAGAAAGUAGGGAGUGGUAAGCCGGGGAUUAGGCUAAGGAACUAGGGCAAGGGUUUAAAAAAGAGCAAUAAGAAACUCGUUUACAGGUGUUGCAUGGCUGUCGUAAGUCCGUGCUGUGAGAAGUGAGGUUAACUCCGCUAACGGACGAAAUCCCUGUUGUUAAUUUAUACUUAACAAUUUAUGAUUUUGACAAAUUUUCAUUUGGGGCUAAGACAAGCCGUUAUGGCCCUCAUGAACUGGGCUAUAGACGUGCCACGAAAACUUUUACAAAGUGACGCCAAAACCUAACCUCUAUACUAAUGCAAUAUUUUAGUUAAUAUUUAGGAUAAAAUCUAAAUAAUAAGGUUUUAAGGAAUAGCUAAUCAUUAAAGAAAGUUAAAUAACCAAAUAUUUGGACGGAUUGCCGCCUGAAAUUCGGCGACAUGAAGAAGGAAUUUCGAGUAAUCGUUGAUCACUAGCGCAACGGUGAAGAAUGCAUUCGGGAUGAACUAACUGUCUGUCGCUGGGAAGAAACUUAAAUAGGGGGAAACUGCCACGAAGUUAUUAUUUUUUUAAGGCAAACCUAAUUUAAUAAUAUCAGCUAUUAUUUAUUAUUAAAUAAAUUAAAUUAAAUAUUUUGUUAAUUUAAGGGUAGUUUUAUGCUAAGAUUUAAUUUUAGAAGUAAUUCUGGUUUAAAGUAUUAGUCAUUUAAAUAUUAAAAAACAAAACACCUUUCUUAAGAUAAUUAGUUUCAGUUAACCUUUUUAAGUAACAUCUCAAAAGUCAUAGCAAGGUAGCUGUACUGGAAAGUGCUGCUGGAAAAUAAAUAAU